GUAGCGGCGAGUGAAGCGGCAAGAGCUCAGAUUUGAAAUCGUGCUAAUUUUUUUGGCACGAGUUGUAGAGUGUAGGCGGGAGUCUUUGUGGAGCACGGUGUCCAAGUCCCUUGGAACAGGGCGCCUGAGAGGGUGAGAGCCCCGUGGGGUGCCGUGCGAAGCUCUGAGGCCCUGCUGACGAGUCGAGUUGUUUGGGAAUGCAGCUCCAAGUGGGUGGUAAAUUCCAUCUAAGGCUAAAUACUGGCGAGAGACCGAUAGCGAACAAGUACUGUGAAGGAAAGAUGAAAAGCACUUUGAAAAGAGAGUGAAACAGCACGUGAAAUUGUUGAAAGGGAAGGGUAUUGGGCCCGACAUGGGGAGUGCGCACCGCUGUCUCUUGUAGGCGGCGCUCUGGGCGCUCUCUGGGCCAGCAUCGGUUCUUGCUGCGGGAGAAUGGGUGCCGGAAAGUGGCUCUUCGGAGUGUUAUAGCCGGCGCCAGAUACCGCGUGCGGGGACCGAGGACUGCGGCUUCUGUCUCGGAUGCUGGCACAACGGCGCAAUACCGCCCGUCUUGAAC
rnacentral:rRNA from 1 species